UGGUUAGAGUAAACUGUUAAGAUUUAAACUUACUCAUUUUACCUUUCACCAUGGGACUUGUAACCGUCACUUCUGUCUUGAGUAGUUAAAAGAUAGAACAGUCUAUUCAAGCACCAUGUCUCUUGUUCUUCGAUUAACUAAAGCUCUGGAGUUUUUGCAGAUUUUCAAAUAAAACUCAGAGAUUCCUUGUAUGACUCUCUCUAGUCUCUCUUUUGUGGUAUUUCUGGAUCCUUACCAAGGCAGUAAUGGUGUAUGCCUUCUCUCAAAGUAUGUGGUAUUUUUGGUAUGAGGCAUAGUGACAUUGCCUUCUCUCUCACCCUACUCUAAUAAGGCUUUUGAUAUCUGGAGCUCAUAGGUGGGAGACAGCUAAUACAUACUUACAAGACAUUUAUUGCAUAGUCAACCCAUGGAUCCAGAAGAACAAGUCAAUAAGUCAAAUCAAGAUGUGCAUGUGUGGCGAAUGAAUGGUGUAUGGUAAUGAUGGUGAUAACAAUGGUGAAAGUCUAAUUCUACUUAUGCUCUUUUGAGGGGAUACAUACCUUUCUUGCUCUUUUGAAACUUUUUGAGGAGAAUGAGAUGCUCUAUAUUUUCUUUUUCUUUCUUUUUUUGUAUUUUUUUUCUUUUCUCUCAGGUGGGUAUCUUGUACCCCUAAUUUGUGGGGGUAUAAACCCCUAUACCCUUACGGCUAGAUUUCGGCCAGGAGGCUUGGUCCAUUACGAGACGAGUUCAAGGCUUGAUCCGACAACCUGGAGUUUCGCGCAAGGAAACAAGAUGUGGAGAUCAAGCAGGAUUCUAGUCGGUUAGAAUAGGAAUUGACAUCGAAUUAUCCAUGGCAAUUGUAACCGACUAGGAUUAGUUUCCAGAUCUGUAACCCCGCCCUCCAGACUAUAUAAGGAGGGGCGAGGGACCCCCCUAGGACAUCAUAUUCUCUCAGCACAAAUCAAUACAACCAGACGCAGGACGUAGGUAUUACGCCAACUCGGCGGCCGAACCUGGAUAAAAAGCUUGUCCGUGUCUUGCGUCACCAUCGAGUUCGUAGUUUGCGCACCGUCUACCGAUAAACUACUACCGAGGGUAUACCCCAAGGUAGAUUGCCGACUAGCUUUCGUCGACAGUGGCGCGCCAGGUAGGGGGUGUGCGUGCAACUUUUCCGGCGAACAAGAUGGUCACGAUCCCAGCUUCCGCGACCGUGCCCGAAGGCCUUAUGUUCACCGUCGGCCAGAUCACGUGGACGACGUGCAGCGGCGGCUUCGCGACCACGGUUCCAAAAGAGAUCCAGAUCCAAUCUGAGAUCACGCCGUCUCCGACCACACGCAUGACGGCACCAAGCGCCCGACCACCGUUCCCACUCUACAAGGGAAAGGAGAUCGACUGCUCGGACCUCCUCCAAGCGCUCGAUCGCGCUGACUCCAAGCUACUCGAAGUCUCCCAGCUAAUAGACGGAGUUCUGCGCCGGCCCGACCAAGCUGCUCGAGCGGAUUUUUCGAAAUCCCGCCGGCCAACUCGUGUCGCCACACACGAACGGCUGGGAACGUCCCUGACGAUAACCUCAACCCCCUCAGGACGAUCCGUCGAGCUCAAAGAGGAAGUCUAUCCUUGCGGCCUGAACAACUCGGCCUCUGUUUACUCACAGCAUGUCCAAUCCGUUUUCAGCAAGGCGGGUUGGUCGCCGACAAGGAACAAUCGUCACCAUGUCAACAUGGUGACAAUCCGAGAGCUACGGGACGGCCAGGUUUCCAGCACCAACUCAAGCACCGGCUCCGUCCCCACCGAGGUUAUAAACACCGAAGACGAGGGCUACGACCUGGAUUUUCCUUCACACCCUCCGGGUUUCGACCGAUUCCCGAUAUCCCCCCCCCGGCGAGGGGAUAUUGUGUUCAAUGUCAGCGCCGACGAACCGGCUGUUGACGGAGAAACAGAUGACCAGAGGCAACUCCGCGAACAGCGUAACGCCGAUCGCGCCCGACGGCGUGCGGACGAGCAACAACAGAUGCCACCAAGUAACCUCAACGAUGCCUUUGACAUGGUCGGGGACCAGCCAGUCUACAAAACGCCAAGCGCCAACGUGGCUGUCGCCAUGGCCAAUCUGGAUCGGCUUCCUGACACCCCCGAAUGCCAGGGAGUCCGGACCAGCAUCCGAGCACACUUGAUCGCCGCAAUGGGACAGACAGCCACUCUGCUCAAGAGAGUCCAGGACGUCUCUUAUACGGAAGCCGCCUCCGACCAGACUAAUCGUAGCCAGGUCUCACCCAGCAGGCGUCACCACAGCCGCUCCCCCGACAACCGUCGAGGGGACUCGCGGCGCGACGAUGGUGGUCGGGACGCCGAUGGCCGUCGCAAGCAAAUUCAUGGCGUACGCGGCCAAGAAGAAGAUCAACACAGGGAUCUCCGCCACAACAUCCCUCCCAAAGACGCCCGGGACCGCAUCAACAGGCGCGCCGCAGAGAGAGCAGUCCACGAAAACCUGCGCCGCAUCGAGUACGAUGCGACCCACGGUCCUCCGGGCCUAAGACAGUUCUCCUCACACCUCCGCCAGGUCGUGUGGCCCCGCAAUUUCAAGCUCGAAAAACUUAAAAAAUACGACGGCAAGGAAAAUCCAGAGAACUGGAUCACUCUCUAUGAAAUCGCCGUCCGAUCAGCGCAGGAGAUGAGCACGUCAUGGCUAACUACUUCACCGUAGUCCUCGACCAGGCUGGUCAUCAGUGGCUUCUCGGCUUGCCCGAGGACUCCUUCGACUCUUGGGAAGAGCUACGCCAGGCUUUCAUCGACAACUUCAUCGCCACAUGCGAGUAGCCCGGAAACAAGUAUGACCUUGAAAGGAUAAGAGACAGGAAGAAUGAACCUCUGCGCGAUUACAUCCGACGAUUCUCGGAUAUGCGCCUCAAAAUCCCGAAGAUUUCUCAUGACGAGGCCAUAUCAGCCUUUAUCAAGGGCUUGCGUUUCCAUGAAGCGCUGAGGAACAAGCUGUUGCGUAAGCGCCCAUCAACGGUAGCAGAGCUCCUCGCUACGGCUAAAAAUUACGCCGAUGCUGAUGACGCAGAAAAACUAAUCCGAGACGAUGCGAGAGGCCCCGACCAGCCUUCCCGGCGAGAUUACGGUCGUGGUCGCUACGACAACAGAAAUCACCGCCGCUCCGACAACCGCGAUCACCGAGAGGGUUGGGAUCGGCGGCGCGACAGCCGCGACGACUUCAGAGGAAAGCGCCCUCGCGAAUACGACCACGAAGUAAAUACGGUCAAACGUCCCAAUGGACGACGGGACUACCAAGACGACUACAACAAAACGUUGAAGGGACCGUGCCAGCUACACCCAAAGUCUAACCAUACCAUGGAAGAGUGCCGCGUCCUCAAAAGUAUCUAUACACGGCGGGCCGCCCAAGAGGACUCCGCCAAGAAAAAUAACAAGCGCGACGGGCACGACCACGAAGAUGAGGAUGAGGACCAAGACAGGGACCCCCGACACCAAUACGUCAGCCCCACCGACGUGGUCCACUCCAUUUUCGGGGGCAAGGUCUCCACUGAGUCCAAGCGAGAAAGAAAGCUGUUAAAGAGAGCCUGCCUCAACAUAGACAGCACGGACGGGCUGAUCGCAGAUCCGAAAUUUCCCGCGUGGUCCCACAGGGAGAUCUCGUUCAGCAGGAAGGACCAGUGGGCCGCUAUCCCAGAGCCGGGUCGUUUCCCACUGAUUCUUGAUCCCUGCAUCAACAGCAUCAGAUUCGAGCGCGUGCUCGUGGACGGGGGAAGCUCCAUCGACAUCCUCUUCCGCAACAGCCUGCCCGCCCUCAAGAUAUCACCGGCACAACUAAAACCUUACGACGCCCAAUUCUGGGGGGUUUUGCCAGGUCAAAGUUCGGUGCCCCUCGGACAGAUAACAUUGCCUGUCCAAUUCGGCACACCCGAUCACUUCCGGACGGAGUUCAUCAACUUCGUAGUCGCGGAUUUCGACGGGACCUAUCACGCCAUACUGGGCCGCCCAUCGCUGACAAAGUUCAUGGCAGUCCCGCACUACUCAUACCUAGUCCUUAAGAUGCCCACGGAGAAGGGUGUCCUAACCAUCAGAGGCAACGUUUACACCGCGUACACCUGCGAAGAAGAAAGCUUCAAGAUCACCGAGGCAAUCGACCUCUCAAUCCGCAUGGCGGAAACAGCAAACCAAGCCGCACAGCUGCCUCCCGACCAGCUCCGAUUACCUGAGCAGGAGACAGCCAGAAAGAACUCGAAAUCCAAGGAGUACAAAGAAGUGCAGCUGGUCGAAGGCAACCCCGAGAAGACAGCCCUCAUCGGGGCUAACCUGGAUCCAAAAUAGGAAGACGCGCUCGUCAGGUUUCUAAGGGACAACGUGAGCGUUUUCGCAUGGAAACCCGCAGACAUGCCCGGUGUCCCACGAAACCUGAUCGAGCACUCCUUAAAUGUCUCGAAGACCGCAAGACCAAUCAAGCAAAAACUGCGACGGUUCGCUCGUGACAAAAAGGAGGCUAUUAGGACAGAAAUAACACGGCUUCUAGCAGCCGGAUUCAUAAAAGAAGUGUAUCACCCCGAUUGGCUCGCCAAUCCGGUUCUUGUACGCAAAAAGAAUAAUGAAUGGAGAAUGUGCGUUGAUUACACCGAUCUCAACAAACACUGUCCUAAAGAUCCUUUUGGUCUUCCUCGCAUCGACGAGGUGGUCGACUCAACGGCCGGAUGCGAACUCCUCUCCUUUCUAGAUUGCUACUCUGGUUAUCACCAGAUCUCGCUAAAGGAAGAAGAUCAGAUCAAAACAUCCUUCAUCACACCCUUCGGCGCAUACUGCUACACUACCAUGUCUUUCGGACUUAAAAACGCCGGGGCCACUUAUCAAAGGGCCAUCCAGCAAUGCCUCCACGACGAGAUUCGCGAUGACCUCGUCGAGGCCUAUGUGUUCGACGUGGUCGUAAAAACAAGGGACGCGGGCACCCUAAUCGACAACUUAGACCGAACCUUCAAGGCACUCAAUAGGUACAAGUGGAAGCUCAACCCCAAGAAAUGCAUUUUCGGCGUUCCUUCCGGUCUACUGCUCGGCAACGUCGUCAGUCGCGACGGCAUACGACCAAACCCUUCAAAAGUCAAAGCCGUACUCGACAUGCGACCACCGAAGAACGUCAAGGAUAUUCAGAAGCUAACCGGAUGCAUGGCCGCCCUCAGUCGUUUCAUCUCAAGGCUGGGAGAAAAAGGCCUCCCUUUCUUCAAACUAUUGAAAGCGUCAGAAAAAAUUUCUUGGACAAAGGAAGCUGACGCUGCGUUCACUCAGCUUAAGACCUUCCUCACUUCACCACCUGUCCUCACAGCGCCUCAGCCCAAUGAAGACCUACUCCUUUACAUUGCUGCAACCGACAGGGUUGUUUCCACGGCAAUAGUGGUCGAGCGAGAUGAACCAGGGCACGUCUUCAAGGUCCAGAGACCCGUUUACUUCAUAAGCGAAGUCUUAAACGAGUCCAAGGCCAGGUACCCACAAAUACAGAAGCUUAUAUACGCCAUCCUGAUAACGUCAAGAAAGCUGAAGCACUACUUCGACGGCCAUCGAGUCCUGGUGACAACCAGCUUUCCUCUCGGGGACAUCCUGCGCAAUAAAGACGCCAAUGGCAGAAUCGUGAAAUGGGCAAUGGAAUUAUGUCCAUUUUCCCUGGAGUUCCAGAGUCGCACCACUGUCAAGUCUCAAGCCCUGGUCGAUUUCAUUGCCGAAUGGGCGGAUCUCAACGAGCCUUCCCUUCCCGAUGUCUCAGACCACUGGUCAAUGUUCUUCGACGGGUCCUUGAACAUCAACGGUGCAGGCGCUGGGAUAUUGUUCGUAUCACCCAACAAGGACAAACUCCGUUACGUCCUUCGGAUCCUUUUUCCGGCGUCAAACAACGUCGCCGAAUACGAAGCAUGCUUGCAUGGCAUACGACUAGCCGUUGAACUGGGGGUCAAGCGCCUCUAUGUCUACGGCGACUCCGCUUUGGUCAUCAACCAGCUCAACAAGGAGUGGGACGCAACCCACGAGAAGAUGGAUCUCUACUGCAAAGAAAUUCGCAAAUGGGAAACUAACUUCUAUGGCAUAGAGUACAUCCACGUGGUCCGGGAUAAGAACCAAGCAGCAGAUGCGUUGUCAAAGUUAGGCUCAUCUCGGGCCCAAAUCCCGCGGGGUAUUUUCGUCCAGGACAUCCAUGGGCCGAGCGUAAGCUCCCCCCUGGUCGACAAGCAACCCACCGAGGCAAUGCUCAUAGAUGACGCCACUCCGACAACCGGUGGACGUGACUGGCGUACCCCGUUCAUCAAAUACAUAUCAGACGGGACAGGCUUUCAGGACAAAACAGAGAACGAGCGCCUCAUCCGACGAUCAAAGAACUACAUCCUGGUCGACGGAAAACUCAUGCAGAAAAACGCAAGCUCCGAAGUACUGCUCAAGUGCAUACCCCAAGAUGAUGGUAUCAAGCUCUUGGAGGACAUACACGCUGGAUCCUGCGGCAAUCACGCCGCAUCUAGAACGCUAGUCGGAAAGGCUUUCCGAGCAGGUUUUUAUUGGCCAACCGCAGUCGGCGACGCAGAAAAACUGGUUCGGCAUUGCGAAGGAUGUCAGUUUUUCGCUAAGAGGACCCACGUACCUGCCCAUGAAAUUCAAACCAUCCCGUCGUCUUGGCCCUUUGCUUGCUGGGGGCUUGACAUGAUCGGACCAUUUAAACCAGCCCCGGGCAAUUUCAAGUUUGUCUUCGUGUUAAUCGACAAGUUCUCCAAGUGGAUUGAAUACAUGCCCCUGGUCAAGGCAACCUCCGAGAAGGCUGUGGAGUUCCUCAAUCAAAUCAUACACAGAUUCGGCAUCCCGAACAGCAUAAUCACCGACCUGGGCACUCAGUUUACUGGCACCACUUUUUGGGAUUUCUGCGAUGACAGAGGCAUAGUCAUAAAAUAUGUGUCAGUGGCACAUCCACGUGCCAACGGUCAAGUCGAACGUGCUAAUGGAAUGAUCGUUGACGCCCUAAAGAAAAGGCUGUACACCGAAAACGACAGAGCACCCGGUCGAUGGAUGAAAGAAUUGCCGGCAGUGGUCUGGGGCCUCCGAACUCAGACCAGUCGAAACACAGGGGUGUCUCCCUACUUCAUGGUGUACGGUGCAGAGGCGGUCUUGCCGUCUGACAUACACUUCGGAUCUCCUAGAAUCGAGCAUUUCGACCAGGCGACCGCCGACAACGCCAGAGAACUCGAAAUCAAUUGCAUGGAGGAAAAGCGUUUAGUUUCGUGUCUCCGAACAGCAAAAUAUCUCGCGGCAGUCAGGCGAUACUACAACAGGAACGUCAAGGACCGUUCCUUCGUGGUCGGCGAUCUGGUGCUUCGAUGGAAAACAAGCCAGGAGGGAAUGCACAAGCUAUCCACUCCCUGGGAAGGACCCUUCGUGGUGACCGAGGUCACACGACCUACGUCCUACAGAUUGGCAUACCCAGAUGGAACACGAGUACCUAACUCUUGGCACAUCGACAAACUGCGACGUUUCUAUCCAUAAAGUUUUAAUGACUUUCUUUUGUAAGUAUCUUAUAAUUUUUUAUAAUGAAAUUCUCUAUUUUUUGCCUAUACCUUGUCACACACAGCACUCGACAAAACUCCUGCAAUGGAUGCUCUUAGCGACAACCAAGACAAAUACGGUGACACGUCACUCAGAUAUUCUUACAGCGCUCAAAACAACAGUCAUGACAAAAAGUAAACUUUAUUACAAACUUUACAUACAAAGUUUACAAUAAAUACCCUGACGGGCAGACACUAGUCUAUUCCUACAGACUACUUUAUUGGCCUAGCUGCUCGGGCUGAUCACCCGCCUGGCCCUGCUGCCCGGACGAAGGGGUCGGGGCCACCGGCGCCUGGCUGGUCGAGACCGCAGGCGUCGACCGCCCAUCUCCCGCAACGGACGCGCCCGACAACUCCCUGGCCGACCUAUCUGAACUCGGCUGGUCUGGAGGAGUGGCCGUUCCGCAUAGAUUGAUGUCGCCGAUCACUGUCGACGACAAGUCCAGCAGACUACCCCGAAGCUCGUCCGCGUCCUGCGGGCCGACUUCCUUCGGGUACCCCUUCUCCAGCCUGCUCAAGUCGACCAGGGGGUAGUGGGCGCGCACCAUGCUGAGGACGUGCGCGCCGGCAAACUCCCCGGCGUCCUUCACAAACUGCUGGAGCCAGUCCCACGCCCGUUGCGCCUUCUCGACCGGGGUCAACUGCGGCGCGCGGGGCUGGCUCUCCGGGAGCUCGGGACUAAUCAGGUCUAGGACCGGGGACACUCCUUUCCAGAUCCUGCAACAGUUGACCUUCCAGGAGUCCCGGUCCUUGAUCAGAUCAUCCAGGUGCUUUUUGGCGUUCACCUUGAGCGCUGCAAACGAAACGAAGAGUUAUUUUCGGCAUAACAAAGGGGCAGGCAGCAACCAACAAGGCGGCACCCAUUACCAGAUAGCUCCCGGUCUUUUUGACCCAAUUCCUCUCCUGCUCGCCGCCUGGACUCCAGCGCACCGGCGAGCUGUUGGCUGAGCUGCUCCUUCUCUUGUCGGAGGCUCGCCACCUCCUCCUCCAAGUCUGCGUGAAUCCUAAACUGGUCAGCAAAGCAAACUAUACAAGUACGCGAAGCUGCUUGGAGCGUGUGACUAACCUUCUUGCAGCCGGUACUGGUCGGCCAAACGACGAGCGAGGUCGAGACGACGCUCCUUUUCGGCACUCAUCUCGACCACCUUCUCCCCGACCUCCGACCGCAACCGGUCUACCUCCGCGGCAAGGGCCUUGUUCUCGGCCAUGACGCCUUCUAUCUGGUCAAAGCACCGUUUCCAGUACUUCGCCGUUUUCAUUGCGCCCUACAAAGCAAGCAUAUAACGACCAUGCAAGACAAGGCAUAGAAUGUACAGCAGUACAAAAAGCCGCUUACCUUGACUUCGUCAACGAGGCGCUUGGCCGCGCGCUCCACCCUGGCGGCCUCUUCGGUCUCGGCGAGCUCCUCAUGCCCAAUAAAGUGAUCCCCGCGUUGGCGCCACACAUACACGUGUUGGCGGCCAUCACGGGGACGACCCUCAAUCUCUUCCACCUCAUCAUCGGAGGCCGCCCGGGUUUCCUCCUCCUGUGCUGCGUCACCCCCGGUGGUGGUCCCAGGUAUUACUGGCCCUCGGACCAGACCUGGGGAGCCCGCAGCCAAAGAGGCUCCUGCUCGGGGCGGCGUGGGGACUUCACUCCCCCCGGCAGGAGGAGCAGUCGGAGAUCUUCCCCUCUCUGAGGAGUCAGUUGGGGGAGCCUCUCCAGCCCUGGUCGGGCUGCUUGUCGUAGUCGGUGCCGCGCUCGGGAGCCCCUCGGUGCUCCCAGGCGCGACUGCAGCUGUUGGCUGCUCUGUGGUCUGGGGGGCCGCAUCCCCAGAACCGCGGGCAGGCUCGCCCGUUCCCUGGCUGGCAGCAUGGCCGGGGUCGACAUCCGAUGCCGCACUACAGGAACAAAAGUUAAAUUUCAAAAAAAAAAAAGUCAAAGAGGAGUCCAAAAUACGUAAGUCGAACACUUACAGGUCUGACCGACGGUGGGUCGCGGUGAACCUCCUCCUCGCCCGGCCGGUCGGCACCCGUGCCCCCAUCUCGACAGCUUGCGGGGCAGCGGCGCCGCUGGCCGCUCGAUCAGUGGCGACCGGCGCAUUGUCUGGGCGGCUCCGAGGCCGUCGGACCAAUGACGGCGCAGCCUCCUCCUCGUCGUCGUCGUCGACGAUCCGCACGAGCCGACGACGCUUCGGUGCUUGGCUGCUCUCCGCCGGUAGAUCUGCCGGCAGCCCCGAUGUCGGCAAGGGAUCUGCCGGCAAUGGCCUUUUCCCCGCUACCCUCUCCUCGGAGGUCGGGAUGGGGCGGGCUUGGUCUUCCUCACUACUGGUGUAAUGAGUACACCGAGCAGCGUCCUCCUCUGGCGGGUCUUCUCCCGCAGGAUUUUCCAUCCCCGGUGCCAGUGAUACAUACACUGUGCACCGGUCGACAUCGCCGAUCUGCAAAAGCAACAGAGAUGAGUCAACUGCAGACGAUAUACGAAUGCUAGAACAGAAUCUGCUACAUACCUUUGGUGCUGGUCGUCCUAACUUGAAGGCUUGCACCCGAUCACUGCCACGGAUGAAGCCCCCAUCCGCGAAGUUAAACAGCUCGUUCAACAGCUGUUGUACCUCCGCUUUCUCCAAGAUCUCCGACCGCAUCCUGGUCGGGUCUGCGCUUCCGGUAUACUCGUACGCCGAGUGCACCCUCUUCUGGCAGGGCAUCACCCGGCGGCAAAUGAAGUUGCCGACCACGCCAAGCCCGUCCAGGCGCGACCAGUCGAUUAGCUUCAUGAGAUCCGCCACUGGACCGUCGAACUCCGGGCGGUCGGUCCAGCUCGUCCUCUUCUCAGGAAUGUAUCCCACGUCGCAGAACGUGGAGCUGCCCGGUUCCUCCCUGAUGUAGAACCACUUCCUGUACCAUUCGGUUAAGGAAGUGUUCCAUGGGCAGUGCAGGUAGCGAUUCUUCAUUCCAUCACGAAGGUUGAGGUAUACUCCACCUGCAACCUUGGAGCCUCCAAUUGCUCCCUUCUUCCUCAAGCAGAAAAGAUACCGAAAAAGAUCGAAGUGCGGCUCUAUGCCAACAUAGGCCUCGCACAGGUGGAUAAAGGUGGAAAUGAGGAGAAUUGAGUUCGGGUGCAGAUUGCAAAUCCCGAUCUCAUAAUACAAAAGAAGACCUUGAAGAAAAGGAUGGACAGGAACACCAAAACCCCUCUUAAUGAAAUCUUCAAAUACGACGAUCUCACCGGCGCGAGGGUCGGGGUAGCUCUCCCCCUCCGGUGCCCUCCAGCCGCCGAGCUCCGGGCCGUGCAGAAGCCCCGUAUCGACGAGGUCACCAAGAGAUUUUGUGGUGCUGCGAGACUUCUUCCACUCCUUGGCCAUCAGUUCGGCCCUCUUCCUGGAGUCGCUCUUCGCCAUUAGAGGUGCGAAUGUGGGCUUGAGUUAGGAAGAUGCAGGAGAUUGGAGAAGAUGAGAGCGGAAGGUUUGAAGGCAAUGGCAGGGAAAGCGGUACAGGCAGGACCUAUUAGGCUCUUAUAAGCCCGCAACUCCACCUCUCCCACUUCCUGUAUUCUCGGGAAGUGGGCAGGCCAUGCGGCGGACGCGGCGUUUCGGUUUACAAUGAUUAUAGACAAUUAAUGCGGCGGAGUUUUCGUACCAAUUGAUGGUUUCCUUUUCUCAAACCAUGCAAAGGGCGGCUGUACAGUUGUCAGGUGCAACUUUUCAUGCAUCCGUCUGACACCCCGUCAGGAGGCCUCGUCACGUCAACUUUAACUGGAAAGAUCUUUUCAAAAAUAAGAAGACACAUACGCCAGUGAGUCAACAAUCCGGGGACUGCACCGACCACCGAGCACUCGACGCUCGGGGACUGGUCGCCCAGUCUAUCAGCGCGGAACUUCAAAGACUGCACCGACCACCGAGCACUCGACGCUCGGGGACUGGUCGCCCAGUCUAUCAGCGCGGAACUUCAAAGACUGCACCGACCACCGAGCACUCGACGCUCGGGGACUGGUCGCCCAGUCUAUCAGCGCGGAACUUCAAAGACUGCACCGACCACCGAGCACUCGACGCUCGAGGACUGGUCGCCCAGUCUAUCAGCGCGGAACUUCAAGGACUGCACCGACCACCGAACACUCGACGCUCGGGGACUGGUCGCCCAGUCUAUCAGCUCAAAGCUUUAAAGCAUGCACCGACCACCGAGCACUCGACGCUCGGGGACUGGUCGUACGGUAUAGCAACAUAUAAUUCCAAGGAGCACACUUAGUGCUUGGGGACUGGUCGAUUGGUCUUUUCAUUUGCAGACGAGCAUGACAUGCUCGGGGACUGGUAAAUUCACUUUUGACCUUGCUACAAGGCUCAUACUUCGCCUUCCAGCAAGCUCGGGGACUACAUCGGUACGAUGCAUCUAGCGAUGCAUCUCAGUCUCAAAACUACUUUGGGGAAUUUUCUUUUGACCCUGGCACCACGUGCCUACGUCACCUACUACCAGGCUCGGGGACUAAGUGGGCACACUUCACCUAGCGGUGAAUUUGCUUGCUUUUUUGGUGUUUAUACCUUUCAAAAAGGUAAAGUGGGCACACUUCAUCAGGAAAGAAAUUUUUUUUAAGAGCACCAUGCAUUCUUCGAACAACCCGCUUCUUCGAUGUCAAUGUUGAUCAACUGUCUUUUGAGUUGGUCAAAAUACCGUUGCAACUGUUCGGACGACUUUCCUGCUUAUUGAAGACGUCAAGCCACACUGAUCGAAGAAGCUCAAGACGGCGUGUUACAUCACAAUACAUGGUGCUCGGGGACUAGCUGUGGGGGUAUAAACCCCUAUACCCUUACGGCUAGAUUUCGGCCAGGAGGCUUGGUCCAUUACGAGACGAGUUCAAGGCUUGAUCCGACAACCUGGAGUUUCGCGCAAGGAAACAAGAUGUGGAGAUCAAGCAGGAUUCUAGUCGGUUAGAAUAGGAAUUGACAUCGAAUUAUCCAUGGCAAUUGUAACCGACUAGGAUUAGUUUCCAGAUCUGUAACCCCGCCCUCCAGACUAUAUAAGGAGGGGCGAGGGACCCCCCUAGGACAUCAUAUUCUCUCAGCACAAAUCAAUACAACCAGACGCAGGACGUAGGUAUUAUGCCAACUCGGCGGCCGAACCUGGAUAAAAAGCUUGUCCGUGUCUUGCGUCACCAUCGAGUUCGUAGUUUGCGCACCGUCUACCGAUAAACUACUACCGAGGGUAUACCCCAAGGUAGACUGCCGACUAGCUUUCGUCGACAUAAUUCUACUGUCGGACACUUGUCCAUUUUUACCUCUCGUCUCACUUUUUUCUUUUCUUUCGAGGUUCCGGGCACUUGCCCCUUUUUAUUUCCUCGUAUUCUUUUUUUUUUCUUUCUCUCUUUUUUUAGAGCACUCAUCUCCUGAAAUAAUAUAGCAAGUGGUAGUAACCAAGAUAACUUGAGCAUUUUUUUCACAGGGAAAAAAACAGAAAUAGGAGAAUGUUUUUGGCUAUUCUCUCCCGGAUUAGGAGUAGAAUAUUUUUGGGUGGUUCUGGAGAUGGAAAUGGGUGGAUAUGUGUGGAUGGUACUUCUGGAGUAGAAGUAGCAUGUGUGAGUGAACGUGCAAGUGAAUCUUGAUUUAACCACAUGACAAGCUCCUAAGGGUCUACACAGCUUGGCCACACUCAAUGCUCAUAAGCAGUAAAAAGUAAAUGUGUGGCUCAAAUUCUAGCAAGCAUGUAUAUAUGGCUGUGGUAGGAAUUUAAACUCUCAUCAUACAGGAACUCAUCAUGCAACAUUUUAAAGAUUUUCAAAGAUAAAAUUCUCCAGAAUUGUAGCAUCUCUAGGAACAGAUAAACAGCAGCUCAACCUUCCCAUAUAAUAUCCGUUAACGACUUAGACUUUAGAUCAAGUACUCUUCCCACAAGUUCAGGUUUAGAGCAAAUCUUAAUUAAUAACAGUAAUGCCUAAACUUGAGAGAGAUUUCAAUUUUAAGAACUAGUCAUGGUAGAGCAACUAUUCAUCAUUUUCAUAUGAGAGCUAUCAUGAGGGUUCAUAGCAGACUUUAUUUAUUUAUUUAUUUAGCAAACUAAUCAAAGAUAUAUAUAAGCACAAAAUCUUUAUUUUGGUUUCCAUGAUUAUGCAUCUUUUUAUUAUUAGAGUAAAGUAUAAACGUGAGUAGAAUACUUAGCUGAAUAAAUGGGGGUGCUCUCCCCCAAGCUGGAUUUUAACGUAGUUUCUUCUAAUGUAGCUAGCAAGUGGUGGAGGUGUAUUUGAAUGUCAGCAGCACCCUGACAGCGAUUAGGAUGUCCUCGGUCUGCUAGUCUUUUUUGAUCCUUGAAUUCUGUGGAGCUCAAAUAGACAACAAAGCUUUGUGGAACUAGAUAAGUGUUAGCAUAAAUAUCUAGCCUUUAUCAUGUUGAGCCUCCUCAAUAAAUAUUACUCUCUUUAGUAGGAUCAUAAAAUUAUUUUUAUAAUUUAAUUUUUUAUAGGACAGGAAUAUACUUAUUUCAUUUUUACGCCACCACAGUGGAUGUACUUAUGGGUUUUAUGCCAUGAGCAUACUCACAUGGGGCUUACUAUUUUUAACAUUUUUAUUUUCUUUUCAAGAUGAUAUGAACCUGAUUAACUAAGCAAACUAUUUUAAAUAGUUGAAAGGAAAAAAAUAACUACCAAGUUUACCUCUUGGCAAGACGUUCGAUGUUUUUAAAUCCUCCGAACGGGACUAUCCAUUUUCUCAGUUGUCCUGGGAUUUGCUAGAUGGCAUAGUCGGUGGUUCCGGCAGAGCCUGCUCUUCGUGUAUAACUAUCUUCUCUCUCCACACCUG
rnacentral:lncRNA from 1 species